GACGAACCGUGCGAACGUUGUUCGGAUUCACUGGGCUUAAAGGGCGCGUAGGCGGGCCGCCAAGUCCGGGGUGAAAGCCUCCAGCUCAACUGGAGAAGUGCCCCGGAUACUGGUGGCCUCGAGGGGGGUAGGGGCACGCGGAACUUCCGGUGGAGCGGUGAAAUGCGUAGAUAUCGGAAGGAACGCCGGCGGCGAAAGCGGCGUGCUGGGCCCCCCCUGACGCUGAGGCGCGAAGGCGUGGGGAGCGAACGGG
rnacentral:rRNA from 1 species